rnacentral:rRNA from 1 species
AUUGAACCGCUGGCCGGCAUGCUUUACCACAUGCAAGUCGAACGGCAGCAACGGGAGCAAUCCUGGGUGGCGAGUGGCGAACGGGGUGAGUAAUAUAUCGGAACGUGCCUUAUAGUGGGGGAUAACGCAGCGAAAGUUGCGGUAAUCCCGCAUACGCCCUGAGGGGGAAAGCGGGGGAUCGAAAGACCUCGCGCUACUAGAGCGGCCGAUAUCUGAUUAGCUUGUUGGUGAGGUAAAGGCUCACCAAGGCUUCGAUCAGUAGCUGGUCUGAGAGGACGAUCAGCCACACUGGGACUGAGACACGGCCCAGACUCCUACGGGAGGCAGCAGUGGGGAAUUUUGGACAAUGGGGGCAACCCUGAUCCAGCAAUGCCGCGUGAGUGAAGAAGGCCUUCGGGUUGUAAAGCUCUUUUGUCAGGGAAGAAACAGCAGCUCUAACACAGCUGUGAAUGACGGUACCUGAAGAAUAAGCACCGGCUAACUACGUGCCAGCAGCCGCGGUAAUACGUAGGGUGCAAGCGUUAAUCGGAAUUACUGGGCGUAAAGCGUGCGCAGGCGGUUAUACAAGACAGGCGUGAAAUCCCCGGGCUUAACCUGGGAAUUGCGUCUGUGACUGUAUGGCUAGAGUGUGUCAGAGGGGGGUAGAAUUCCACGUGUAGCAGUGAAAUGCGUAGAUAUGUGGAGGAAUACCAAUGGCGAAGGC